GAUGAACGCUGGCGGCGUGCCUAAUACAUGCAAGUCGAGCGAACAGAUGAGGAGCUUGCUCCUCUGACGUUAGCGGCGGACGGGUGAGUAACACGUGGAUAACCUACCUAUAAGACUGGGAUAACUUCGGGAAACCGGAGCUAAUACCGGAUAAUAUAUUGAACCGCAUGGUUCAAUAGUGAAAGACGGUUUUGCUGUCACUUAUAGCUGGAUCCGCGCCGCAUUAGCUAGUUGGUAAGGUAACGGCUUACCAAGGCAACGAUGCGUAGCCGACCUGAGAGGGUGAUCGGCCACACUGGAACUGAGACACGGUCCAGACUCCUACGGGAGGCAGCAGUAGGGAAUCUUACGCAAUGGGCGAAAGCCUGACGGAGCAACGCCGCGUGAGAGAUGAAGGUCUUCGGAUCGUAAAACUCUGUUAUUAGGGAAGAACAAAUGUGUAAGUAACUAUGCACGUCUUGACGGUACCUAAUCAGAAAGCCACGGCUAACUACGUG
rnacentral:rRNA from 1 species